rnacentral:lncRNA from 1 species
GGUGAUCUCAUGGGUGUUUAUAUUACUUUGGUGGAUGAAAAGGUGUAUUUUAAUUAACUUAAGCUCUGAUAUUCUACACCGAAAAUAAAUCUUAUUUGUAUUAACUCCACGGAACAAUUUUUUUUUUCUAUUAGGUUUACCGAGAAGACCCGUUUUGUUGAGAUUGCAGAGGCAUUUUAACCCUAUCCCUACGUCGAAUCUCUCUUUUUAGUUACAACAUAGUCAACUCUCAGGACAAGACAAACAAUAGCGAAAGAGCCUUCUUGGCAUGUUCGUGGCGUCUUUGUCACUUAAGAUUUCUC